UCUACAGCUCAGUGAUGGUUUCAGAAUUUAUACCUCUGAAUCUGCUCAGAAUGAGACAGAACUGAAUCAGUCACAACAUCAGACGACACAGCAGGCUCUGAUUGUUUUAUACGUCAUACUGAACAUUGUGAUGUUUUCUGCAGUGAUAGGCCUAUUCCAGCUCAAACUCAAAGCUUGUAAGAAAAGGCAGUUUUUCUGCAGAAAUGGUGAAG